UUCACAGGAUGGGACCAGCGUAGAAGAUGUCUCGGCAUUGUCUAAAUACUGAAUAAGCAGGAGUGAUGGAGUUCACGUUUAUAGACCUUCCUUUGAAAAAAAGCUGAAGAGUCCUCAGUUUGCUUGACCUCAAGCUGGUGCUCUCCAAGCUGGAAUCUGGGUAGAAUUCCAUAACCUCAGGAACAGAGAGAGAGGAAGCCUGGAAGUGAAGCACCAGUGUUUUAUUUCUCCUUGCUGAAGCUGAUGUACAUCCAAGGUGACUUGGAAUGGGAUGAAGCAUGGACAAUACUGAUGGGUGAUUCUUCCAGGACGUGCAUGCUUGUUUGCCAUUGACCGGUGGUUGUUGGCACUGACAGCAAAGCACUGCCUGCCUGGGAGGCGCAGAAGUGGAUGAAUCAAGGGAAUGGAGUGUAGAGCACUGAAAAAAGGGACAACCGUGCUGCUUCUCCUCCUCCUCAUAUGCCUCUCUGAAGCAUCUCCCACAGCAGCAAAAAAUACAACCGUGUAAUGAAAAGGAAUGCUUUCCUUUUAGAAACCAUUAAUAUGCACAAGGAAAUACCAGACAAUAUUUAUUGUAAGGUUGUUGAUUCUGGGGCAGUAAAUCACGGUUGUGUAGAUACAUACAUUUGUCUUUGUUCAAGCCUGGUAAGUAUUGUGAAGGAUUAGAAAUAAUUCCAUGGCUGUUACAUCUGAAACUGCAUUAUCGGUCCAAUUUUGUUCCUUUCUAAAACAUAUCCAUAACCGUAACAGAUACCAGCUUUCAGCAUUAGUUUUGAAGGAUUAAGUCUUAUUCCUAUCAGAUUUGAAACAAAAUAGGUAAAGACUUUCUGAACUAAGACAUCCUGGUAAAUCCCAUCAUAAUUAAAAAAAGGAAAAAUAUUGUAAGCCUAGUUUGAUGGAUUUCUUUAGAAUGAUGCUGCUGUAGUUUUCUGUCCGCUAUGAUUGCAAUUAAUUAGGUAGCCACAAUCAAAAUGGAUCCAAACCAUGAAUAUUUCCAGGAAAUGGUGUCUCUGGAAAGCAGAGUAUGUUGUGGCAGGAACUUGUUGACGUAGAGUAGGAUAUUCUUGUCUCAAUUGCUUUGGAAAAUUGGUUUUGCUAGAGCUAGGAGAUGCCAGACUGGGAGGUUAAACACCUUUAUUUUGGAGGAAGUAAAGUGAGCAGGUGAUCUGGCAGGAAAAACAGUCCAUGAUUGGGCUGCCAACUCUGAAAAUAAACC